AAUGCACAGCUACAGCUGGUUGAAGGGGACCAAAUCCAUUGGACAGUCGAUUUGGUUCCAUUUUACCAGCUCUAGCAAAGCAUUUGG
rnacentral:pre_miRNA from 1 species